UGAGUGCGAGCUGCUACGGCAGCGAAGUUGGUGAUGUCAUGCUUCCAAGAAAAGCCCUAUACCCGUUAAGGCAUCAUGGCCUGUACCCGAAACCGACACAGGUGGGGUGGUAGAGAAUACCGAGGGGCGCGAGGUAACUCUCUCUAAGGAACUCGGCAAAAUGGCCCCGUAACUUCGGGAGAAGGGGUGCCACCGCAAGGUGGUCGCAGUGAAGAGGCCCAGGCGACUGUUUACCAAAAACACAGGUCUCCGCUAAGUCGCAAGACGAUGUAUGGGGGCUGACGCCUGCCCAGUGCCGGAAGGUUAAGGAAGCUGGUCAGCGCAAGCGAAGCUAGCGACUGAAGCCCCGGUGAACGGCGGCCGUAACAAUAACGGUCCUAAGGUAGCGAAAUUCCUUGUCGGGUAAGUUCCGACCCGCACGAAAGGCGUAACGAUCUGGGCGCUGUCUCGGAGAGAGGCUCGGCGAAAUAGAAUUGUCUGUGAAGAUGCGGACUACGUGCACCCGGACAGAAAGACCCUAUGAAGCUUUACUGUAGCUUGGUAUUGUGCCCGGGCUCGCAAUGCGCAGGAUAGGUGGGAGGCUUUGAUCAUCGGCUUGCGGGUCGAUGUGAGCCAACGGUGAGAUACCACUCUUUGCGAGCUAGGGUUCUAACGGCCACCCGUCAUCCGGGGGCCGGACAGUACCUGGUGGGCAGUUUGACUGGGGCGGUCGCCUCCUAAAAGGUAACGGAGGCGCGCAAAGGUUUGCUCAGGCUGGUUGGAAAUCAGCCGACGAGUGUAAAAGCAGAAGCAAGCUUGACUGUGAGACCAACAAGUCGAACAGGGAGGAAACUCGGCUUUAGUGAUCCGACGGUUCUGAGUGGAAGGGCCGUCGCUCAACGGAUAAAAGUUACUCUAGGGAUAACAGGCUGAUCUCCCCCAAGAGUUCACAUCGACGGGGAGGUUUGGCACCUCGAUGUCGGCUCAUCGCAACCUGGGGCUGAAGUCGGUCCCAAGGGUUGGGCUGUUCGCCCAUUAAAGCGGUACGCGAGCUGGGUUCAGAACGUCGUGAGACAGUUCGGUCCAUAUCCGGUGCACGCGCAGGAAUAUUGAGAGGAUUUCUCCCUAGUACGAGAGGACCGGGAGGAACGCACCUCUGGUGUACCAGUUAUCGUGCCAACGGUAAACGCUGGGUAGCCAUGUGCGGAGUGGAUAACCGCUGAAAGCAUCUAAGUGGGAAGCCCACCUCAAGAUGAGUAUUCCCAUGGCGUAAGCCAGUAAGGUCACGGGAAGAACACCCGUUGAUAGGCUCUAUGUGGAAGCGCAGUAAUGCGUGAAGCAGAGGAGUACUAAUAGACC
rnacentral:rRNA from 1 species